GGGUUGUGAGGUUAAGCGACUAAGCGUACACGGUGGAUGCCCUGGCAGUCAGAGGCGAUGAAGGACGUGCUAAUCUGCGAUAAGCGUCGGUGAGGUGAUAUGAACCGUUAUAACCGGCGAUUUCCGAAUGGGGAAACCCAGUGUGUUUCGACACACUAUCAUUAACUGAAUCCAUAGGUUAAUGAGGCGAACCGGGGGAACUGAAACAUCUAAGUACCCCGAGGAAAAGAAAUCAACCGAGAUUCCCCCAGUAGCGGCGAGCGAACGGGGAGGAGCCCAGAGCCUGAAUCAGUGUGUGUGUUAGUGGAAGCGUCUGGAAAGGCGCGCGAUACAGGGUGACAGCCCCGUACACAAAAAUGCACAUAUUGUGAGCUCGAUGAGUAGGGCGGGACACGUGGUAUCCUGUCUGAAUAUGGGGGGACCAUCCUCCAAGGCUAAAUACUCCUGACUGACCGAUAGUGAACCAGUACCGUGAGGGAAAGGCGAAAAGAACCUCGGCGAGGGAGUGAAAAAGAACCUGAAACCGUGUACGUACAAGCAGUGGGAGCCUCUUAAUGGGGUGACUGCGUACCUUUUGUAUAAUGGGUCAGCGACUUAUAUUCUGUAGCAAGGUUAACCGAAUAGGGGAGCCGAAGGGAAACCGAGUCUUAACUGGGCGUUAAGUUGCAGGGUAUAGACCCGAAACCCGGUGAUCUAGCCAUGGGCAGGUUGAAGGUUGGGUAACACUAACUGGAGGACCGAACCGACUAAUGUUGAAAAAUUAGCGGAUGACUUGUGGCUGGGGGUGAAAGGCCAAUCAAACCGGGAGAUAGCUGGUUCUCCCCGAAAGCUAUUUAGGUAGCGCCUCGUGAAUUCAUCUCCGGGGGUAGAGCACUGUUUCGGCAAGGGGGUCAUCCCGACUUACCAACCCGAUGCAAACUGCGAAUACCGGAGAAUGUUAUCACGGGAGACACACGGCGGGUGCUAACGUCCGUCGUGAAGAGGGAAACAACCCAGACCGCCAGCUAAGGUCCCAAAGUCAUGGUUAAGUGGGAAACGAUGUGGGAAGGCCCAGACAGCCAGGAUGUUGGCUUAGAAGCAGCCAUCAUUUAAAGAAAGCGUAAUAGCUCACUGGUCGAGUCGGCCUGCGCGGAAGAUGUAACGGGGCUAAACCAUGCACCGAAGCUGCGGCAGCGACACUAUGUGUUGUUGGGUAGGGGAGCGUUCUGUAAGCCUGUGAAGGUGGCCUGUGAGGGUUGCUGGAGGUAUCAGAAGUGCGAAUGCUGACAUAAGUAACGAUAAAGCGGGUGAAAAGCCCGCUCGCCGGAAGACCAAGGGUUCCUGUCCAACGUUAAUCGGGGCAGGGUGAGUCGACCCCUAAGGCGAGGCCGAAAGGCGUAGUCGAUGGGAAACAGGUUAAUAUUCCUGUACUUGGUGUUACUGCGAAGGGGGACGGAGAAGGCUAUGUUGGCCGGGCGACGGUUGUCCCGGUUUAAGCGUGUAGGCUGGUUUUCCAGGCAAAUCCGGAAAAUCAAGGCUGAGGCGUGAUGACGAGGCACUACGGUGCUGAAGCGACAAAUGCCCUGCUUCCAGGAAAAGCCUCUAAGCAUCAGGUAACAUCAAAUCGUACCCCAAACCGACACAGGUGGUCAGGUAGAGAAUACCAAGGCGCUUGAGAGAACUCGGGUGAAGGAACUAGGCAAAAUGGUGCCGUAACUUCGGGAGAAGGCACGCUGAUAUGUAGGUGAAGCGACUUGCUCGUGGAGCUGAAAUCAGUCGAAGAUACCAGCUGGCUGCAACUGUUUAUUAAAAACACAGCACUGUGCAAACACGAAAGUGGACGUAUACGGUGUGACGCCUGCCCGGUGCCGGAAGGUUAAUUGAUGGGGUUAGCGGUAACGCGAAGCUCUUGAUCGAAGCCCCGGUAAACGGCGGCCGUAACUAUAACGGUCCUAAGGUAGCGAAAUUCCUUGUCGGGUAAGUUCCGACCUGCACGAAUGGCGUAAUGAUGGCCAGGCUGUCUCCACCCGAGACUCAGUGAAAUUGAACUCGCUGUGAAGAUGCAGUGUACCCGCGGCAAGACGGAAAGACCCCGUGAACCUUUACUAUAGCUUGACACUGAACAUUGAGCCUUGAUGUGUAGGAUAGGUGGGAGGCUUUGAAGUGUGGACGCCAGUCUGCAUGGAGCCGACCUUGAAAUACCACCCUUUAAUGUUUGAUGUUCUAACGUGGGCCCCUUACCGGGGUUGCGGACAGUGUCUGGUGGGUAGUUUGACUGGGGCGGUCUCCUCCUAAAGAGUAACGGAGGAGCACGAAGGUUGGCUAAUCCUGGUCGGACAUCAGGAGGUUAGUGCAAUGGCAUAAGCCAGCUUGACUGCGAGCGUGACGGCGCGAGCAGGUGCGAAAGCAGGUCAUAGUGAUCCGGUGGUUCUGAAUGGAAGGGCCAUCGCUCAACGGAUAAAAGGUACUCCGGGGAUAACAGGCUGAUACCGCCCAAGAGUUCAUAUCGACGGCGGUGUUUGGCACCUCGAUGUCGGCUCAUCACAUCCUGGGGCUGAAGUAGGUCCCAAGGGUAUGGCUGUUCGCCAUUUAAAGUGGUACGCGAGCUGGGUUUAGAACGUCGUGAGACAGUUCGGUCCCUAUCUGCCGUGGGCGCUGGAGAACUGAGGGGGGCUGCUCCUAGUACGAGAGGACCGGAGUGGACGCAUCACUGGUGUUCGGGUUGUCAUGCCAAUGGCACUGCCCGGUAGCUAAAUGCGGAAGAGAUAAGUGCUGAAAGCAUCUAAGCACGAAACUUGCCCCGAGAUGAGUUCUCCCUGACUCCUUGAGAGUCCUGAAGGAACGUUGAAGACGACGACGUUGAUAGGCCGGGUGUGUAAGCGCAGCGAUGCGUUGAGCUAACCGGUACUAAUGAACCGUGAGGCUUAACCUUACAACGCCGAAG
rnacentral:rRNA from 1 species